rnacentral:rRNA from 1 species
ACAUGCAAGUCGAACGAAGUAGCAAUACUUAGUGGCAGACGGGUGAGUAACAUGUGGGUAUCUGCCCUUUGGCCUGGAAUAACACGAGGAAACUUGUGCUAAUACCGGAUAAGUCUUUACAGAGAAAGCUUUAUGCACCAUUGGAUGAGCCCGCACUUGAUUAGUUUGUUGGUGGGGUAAUGGCCUACCAAGACUUUGAUCAAUAGCUGAUUUGAGAGGAUGAUCAGCCACAUUGGGACUGAGACACGGCCCAAACUCCUACGGGAGGCAGCAGUGGGGAAUCUUGCACAAUGGAGGAAACUCUGAUGCAGCGAUGCCGCGUGAGUGAAGAAGGCCCUUGGGUUGUAAAGCUCUUUCGUCGGGGAAGAAAAUGACUGUACCCGAAUAAGAAGGUCCGGCUAACUUCGUGCCAGCAGCCGCGGUAAUACGAAGGGACCUAGCGUAGUUCGGAAUUACUGGGCUUAAAGAGUUCGUAGGUGGUUGAAAAAGUUGGUGGUGAAAUCCCAGAGCUUAACUCUGGAACUGCCAUCAAAACUUUUCAGCUAGAGUUUGAUAGAGGAAAGCAGAAUUUCUAGUGUAGAGGUGAAAUUCGUAGAUAUUAGAAAGAAUACCAAUUGCGAAGGCAGCUUUCUGGAUCAUUACUGACACUGAGGAACGAAAGCAUGGGUAGCGAAGAGGAUUAGAUACCCUCGUAGUCCAUGCCGUAAACGAUGUGUGUUAGACGUUGGAAAUUUAUUUUCAGUGUCGCAGCGAAAGCGAUAAACACACCGCCUGGGG